rnacentral:rRNA from 1 species
UACGUAGGGUGCGAGCGUUGUCCGGAAUUACUGGGCGUAAAGAGCUCGUAGGUGGUUUGUCGCGUUGUUCGUGAAAACUCACAGCUCAACUGUGGGCGUGCGGGCGAUACGGGCAGACUGGAGUACUGCAGGGGAGACUGGAAUUCCUGGUGUAGCGGUGAAAUGCGCAGAUAUCAGGAGGAACACCAGUGGCGAAGGCGGCUUUCUGGACGGUAACUGACGCUGAGACGCGAAAGCGUGGGGAGCAGACAGG